rnacentral:rRNA from 1 species
CCAGACUCCUACGGGAGGCAGCAGUGGGGAAUAUUGCACAAUGGGGGGAACCCUGAUGCAGCGACGCCGCGUGGGUGAAGGAGCACCUCGGUGCGUAAAGCCCUAUCGGCAGGGAAGAAACAGACGGUACCUGAGUAAGAAGCACCGGCUAAAUACGUGCCAGCAGCCGCGGUAAUACGUAUGGUGCAAGCGUUAUCCGGAUUUACUGGGUGUAAAGGGAGCGUAGGCGGCGCGUUAAGUCUGAUGUGAAAACCCGAGGCUCAACCACGGGAGUGCAUUGGAAACUGGCGGGCUGGAGUGCCGGAGAGGUAAGCGGAAUUCCUAGUGUAGCGGUGAAAUGCGUAGAUAUCAGGAGGAACACCGGUGGCGAAGGCGGCCUGCUGGACUGCAACUGACGUUGAGGCCCGAAAGCGUGGGGAGCAAACAGGAUUAGAUACCCGAGUA